UAAUUUUCUGUCAAAAAAUUGUAGAAACUUUUUCAAUUAUGUCUAAUUUUAAGGUCCACUAUGUAAAAGUUGAGUAGAGGGCAAAAAGUCCCAUAUUCUCGUAAUAGUUAAACAGACUGAUAGUGAACGAACAUGAGUAAGCUGAGGCCAAUACUGACAUCUGCAAAACAUAAUUGAUUACGUGAUAUGCUCUAUUUAUAUCAUUAGACAUUCGUAAACUCGUCUUACAAAAAUUUCGCAUAUACAAGGACCAGUUUUACUAUGAAUGUAUUGAAGUAUUUUUAGAAACGUACGGAACAAUUGUGACCUUACUUAGUACUCAAAAAGUUACUAUCGUAAUGAAAAUAUAGUAUCUAAAACUAAUGGUUUUAUGUAAUCACAUAAAAUAAAUCCUCAAAAAUUAUCAACCUUGAAAGCUACGAUUUUACUCUGCGAUUGUGAACAUCUCUGAGAACCACAAUUCAAGACAUAGUUUUGUAUUUUAUCGUUCUGGCUUAUAAUUAACUAAAUAACACUAUGACUAAAAUCGAAGUAAGCGAAAGUUGACAUGAUUUUGAAUAAAAGGCAUUAUUAUAAUGAUGCCAAUAAUAAUGGUCCAUAUGAGUUUAAAUUUAGAACAAAGGCAAAAAAAUACAUUCGAAAUUGUUACCACUUCUACAAAGGGAUAAUGACUAUGCUGAUCUAUCAAAUUUUAUUAUCUAUAUACAUUUUUCUUAACAUCAUGUGAAUAUCUCUUGUAGAAAAAUGGCAAUAAUUUUUUCGUGUACAGUAAUAAAAAAUAUACAUGAUGCGCAUCAUUUGAAAGUAGUAACUAUCAAUGGGAAAUUCUUAAUGAAUAAUAGCUAUACCUGUCAACUCGAAAACAAUAAUCGGUGUUUUUAAUCGGUGAAAAGUGUAGUGCUUAGUUCCACUAUAGUUUCGUGAACCUCACAGGGUGACAUCAUUAGCAUACAUUAUCGACUAAAGGUCAGCUUAUCAAAAGAAAUAACAGACAAUUAUAUCAAUGCUAGGAUCGUUCCGAUAGUGUUCAGACGUUUAUUGAGUGAAAAUGAUCAUGAUUUUUGUAUUGGGCCGAGUAAAUAUUUACAAAUAGGAUCAGCCAAUAAUCAAAAAAAUGUAUUCUUUUGGAUGUUGUAGUAACAAACUUGCAAGGGAAUCAAAUUAAAUAUGGCACCACUGAUAAGAUCAUCAUUAUCAUCUAAAAGGAAAGAACCAUUUUUUAAAUCGGUUUGGCCUAUAAGAAAAAAAUCGAUGAACAAAAUGUCCCAAUAAAAAGGUCCAUAUGUCUACUCGUUAAGUGUGAUAUUACAUUACCUCAGACAAACAUCGCAGAUUUGUUUCUUCUGUGUAUAAUUGUAGUGUUCUCUAAUUCUAUUUUACAAUAUCAGGGUACUAUUAAUAUAUAAUAAUAGUUUUGUGCAUAUGCAAUAAGUGCAUACCGGAGAGGAGAUAAGACUGAACUCGAUGUAAUAAGAUAUGAAUGUAUAACUUGCUAAAAAUGCAGAAUAAACUGUCAUGGUAUUUA